GAGAGGGAGGCCAAGAGGUCUCGAGAGUUGGGCCAUUUCUCUAGUGCAUGCGCCCAGCUGCAGGUUGUCAUGGAAGGGGUUAUAUGAGUCACCCUAUUCAUUCAGCUCUUCCAGCAGCCAGUGGUAUUCCAACAGCCUUAUUAUGCACCUCCAAUUUCUAGUGCGCCUUCUGUGCGGGGUGAUUUUAGAGAUUAGUCCAGCAGACCUGGAUCGAGCCAAUCACAACCACCACGUCCUCCCAGAGCUUGUUUUGAGUGUGGUGACACAUGCCAUGUGGUGAGGCAUUUCCUUAGACUUGGGAGGAGUGCACCUCUACAGACUUCUCA
rnacentral:lncRNA from 1 species